rnacentral:lncRNA from 1 species
CCUAGCAGGUCUCAGGGCCUCCAAGAUGCAGGCAGAGAUGUCCAGGUAGGAUUUCCCAUGGCUUGCCUGGGCUUUUGUUCUGCUAUGAUGCAGCAAGAGGUCAGAACCAGAUGCUGAGAGGGGAAACACCACAGGGCUGGUGUUCAGCAACAAGGCACGCGCUUCUCCUCCCUGCUCCUGCCCUUAGCAGUACAGCUGUCACUGCAGCUUUGGAAAUGCCUCUGCAGACCACAAACCACUGCACUUGCACAAGGGACCUGCAUCCCCCUUCCCUUACAUCACGCCUGCAAGCUUUGCUGCCAAAAAAACUUUCAAAUUCCCAUUUGCACACUGGAGGCCAGGGGUUUCUCUCCUCCAGGCUCUGCCCCCGAAGCCGGGGCUAAAAGGGAGGAAGAUACAGCACAGAUAGGGCCGCAGAUCCAGGCAGAGAGCGUGGCAUUACCAUGGGGAAAAAGGCCGCCUUUGAGUCCUGAACUGAGAAAAAUGGAGCUGGGAGGCACCAAAAGAGACUAAAGGGGGUAUCACUGCUAAAGAUGGCCUGGACAUUACAUCUGCACAGCAAUGGGAGGACACCACGAGAGCCCAGCUCUGUGAACCCUCAGUGUCACCUACCAACCACAAGUGAGCCUCUGCAUGACAGCAAGACCCCAAAACCAAUAGCAGUGGGCAAGCCUGUUUUUCAAGGGCACCCCAACCCGUUAGCAAGAAGAGGCAUCGCCAUCCCUGCAGCCACUAGAUGGUGCCAAGAGAAAGAGCGUGGGAGGAACGGGGUGAGGAAGAGGAGGGCACCCGCGCCUCCAGCUGUCCCCUGCCACCCGAAAGCCUGGCCGUGGGGUGAGGGACAAACCCCAGGUAUGUACAGUUUGCAGCGGAAGAUCUCCCAGCCCAUGUCCGUGGGGAGGCAUCGUCCUGGCUGGGGAGUGUUUGGGACCUAACGGCGAUGAGGUUGUGGCUGGGAAGUCCUCGACUGGUUUUGUGCUGGGUUGGCCAGCUGGUAUCGCCCAGUGUGGUUGGGCUCACACCAGGAGUGCUGUCCCAGCUCCUCCUGUGCUGUCCCCAUCAGAUGUCCCUGGUUUCUGCAACAAGCAAAGAUGUGGUGCAUGGGAAGAUGGAGAUUUCUCUGCCCUCGUGAAGGAAACCUGUGCCUAUGCUAGGAUGGGACCUGGAGAUUGCUCCCAGCAGGGCCCUUGCAGGCUCCCUGUGGGAGAAAGCACGGCUGGAAAUAGGGCUGGGGUGGGGGACAUGGGUGCGCCGGGUGGAGCUGCAGAGAUGACAGCCUCCUUGCAAUUUCUGGGUGCAAUGCCUCCCCUGCCUUCCGGAGCCUGCAAGGAUUUGGGCCACAUCUUUCGGUUGUAGUGCAAGAUCAAAAGAAAACCUCAUUUGGCUUCAUUUCAAUGAAAGCUAAAAGUCUGAAAAUGCAAAAGCCAAGUGAAAUUUCUCUGUAUCUGUCAGCCUGUUGAAUUUGCCCAUCUGUGCCAGGUUGCAUGACUUUGUGUCUCGCACUUCGUUCUGGUUCUCCUAAAAGACUUGGUUCCCGG